GCGCGAAAUACAAAAAGUAACUGCUAACACCAAUAUUAAAUCAAUAAAAGCAUCGUCUUACAAGUACAUAUACGUUUACGAUUAAAAAAUUAGAAAGAGAAUAAUGUUAACCAACUAAGCUAUUAGAUUUUCAUUGUAUUCAUAUCUGGGAACGAACACUAUUGAUGUACACUAAAGCCGGAUCAAUAAUGCACCGGUAACCUAAUUUAUGAACGCUAACCAAAUGAGAAGCAACUAAGAGCUGAUCCCAUAAAGUGUGAGAAAAGGAAACGAGCUUGAACAAGGUAAUUUAAACCUUGAAUGCACGAGACUUUCUGCGACCACGAGCUCUCUCGAACUUACGGCCCUCAGAACGAACAUAAGGAGCCUUAUGCUUGUGGGGACCAAAGCCAAAGUGACGGUAAGCCUCACGAGCAUGCUUCUUACCACGAACAAGAACAGUGUUGCUUCCAGUGGGAGCACGUAGAGCAAGCUGAUCGAGGGUUAAAACUUCACCACCAGCUUUCAAAAUACGAGCGCGAGCAGAUUUAGUAAAACGAAGAGCGGCAAUAGAAAGCUUAGGAACAGUCAACAUACGCUCAUCGUCGGUAACGGUUCCGACAACGACGGUGGUUUUGUUCUGAGAAGAAGCACUCUUACGGCUAGUUAAAGCAGCGAUCUUUGAGAUAGAAAUAGGAGGACGGUUAGUCUUGGAUUGAAAAAGACGCUUCAAAAUAGCCUUGUUGAAGCGGGAAUCUGUACGACGGGCCAAAAAACGGUAAAGCUUAACCAAAAGCUUUAAGUAGACGUUCUCCGAAGCAGGCUUGCUGCGUUGAGACUUUUUAACGUGAUGUCUCUCGAUAUCAAUUCCCUAAAUCACUCAUUAGCUUAAUAGAACAAACAGGUAUUCAUAUUAUACAUACCAUUUUGAUAUAACGCUGCUUGUUCGUUUCAAUAAUCACUGCUAAAAUUGGUAGUAAAUUUGUGACUGCCUUUUUGAGCUAGGGUAGGUUUUAGGGAGGUUUAUCGAGAGUCACUAGGUACGCCUUAUUUGUGUAGCAAACCCAUAAACGGAGGUGUAUAAAUGAUUCAAUAUAAAUAAGUAUUUGCUAGAUUAUUUAUUUAUAAUAGUGAGAUUUUGGAAUAGGGUAGGUGUUACUUUUGCAUUUAUCGAACACGUUCAUUAACUCUCUAAAAAUUAAUUGUUUUAUAAAACUAGAUAUAUGAAAAAGAUGCAUUUGAAUUUUACUGCAAAUAAUAAUUGAAUUAUAUAACCAUAUUUCAUUGAAAAUAUUAUACUUUAUGGAAC